CCCUUAGAUGUUCUGGGCUGCACGCGCGCUACACUGAAGCUAUCAACACGUUUUCCCUCCCUGAGAAGGGCGGGUAACCUUUUGAAUCAGCUUCGUGGUAGAGAUCGGGGCUUGCAAUUGUUCCCCGUGAACCAGGAAUUCCUAGUAGACGCGAGUCAUAAGCUCGCAUCGAUUAAGUCCCUGCCCUUUGUACACACCGCCCGUCGCUACUACCGAUUGAACGUUUUAGUGAGGCAUUUGGACCGACGCAUCUCAGUUUAACCGCUGGUUUGUGUUGGAAAGACUUCCAAACUUGAGCGUUUAGAGGAAGUAAAAGUCGUAACA
rnacentral:rRNA from 1 species